rnacentral:tRNA from 1 species
UAGUAUUAUGACUGAUAAAAGUUAUAAAUUGUAAAUUUAUAUAUGAAAUUUAUUAAAUUUCUAAUACUAU